ACGGGUGAGUAACGCGCGGGAAUCUACCCAUCUCUACGGAAUAACGCAUGGAAACGUGUGCUAAUACCGUAUACGUCCUUCGGGAGAAAGAUUUAUCGGAGAUGGAUGAGCCCGCGUUGGAUUAGCUAGUUGGUGGGGUAAAGGCCUACCAAGGCGACGAUCCAUAGCUGGUCCGAGAGGAUGAUCAGCCACACUGGGACUGAGACACGGCCCAGACUCCUACGGGAGGCAGCAGUGGGGAAUAUUGGACAAUGGGCGCAAGCCUGAUCCAGCCAUGCCGCGUGAGUGAUGAAGGCCCUAGGGUUGUAAAGCUCUUUCACCGGUGAAGAUAAUGACGGUAACCGGAGAAGAAGCCCCGGCUAACUUCGUGCCAGCAGCCGCGGUAAUACGAAGGGGGCUAGCGUUGUUCGGAUUUACUGGGCGUAAAGCGCACGUAGGCGGACUAUUAAGUCAGGGGUGAAAUCCCGGGGCUCAACCCCGGAACUGCCUUUGAUACUGGUAGUCUUGAGUUCGAGAGAGGUGAGUGGAAUUCCGAGUGUAGAGGUGAAAUUCGUAGA
rnacentral:rRNA from 1 species